GACAUAGGUUGCGAACGUUAUCCGGAAUUACUGGGCGUAAAGCGUGCGCAGGCGGUUCUCCAAGUCCGUUGUGAAAGCCCCGGGCUCAACCUGGGAAUGGCAGUGGAAACUAGGGGACUGGAAUCUGGCAGAGGGGGGUGGAAUGCCGCGUGUAGCAGUGAAAUGCGUAGAGAUGCGGCGGAACACCGAUGGCGAAGGCAGCCCCCUGGGCUGAGAUUGACGCUCAGGCACGAAAGCGUGGGGAGCAAACAGG
rnacentral:rRNA from 1 species